AUUGAACGCUGGCGGAAUGCUUUACACAUGCAAGUCGAACGGCAGCACGGACUUCGGUCUGGUGGCGAGUGGCGAACGGGUGAGUAAUGUAUCGGAACGUGCCCAGUCGGGGGGGAUAACGUAGUGAAAAUUACGCUAAUACCGCAUACGAUCUAUGGAUGAAAGCGGGGGAACGCAAGACCUCGCGCGAUUGGAGCGGACGAUAGCAGAUUAGGUAGUUGGUGGGGUAAAGGCCCACAAAGCCAACGAUCUGUAGCUGGUCUGAGAGGACGACCAGCCACACUGGAACUGAGACACGGUCCAGACUCCUACGGGAGGCAGCAGUGGGGAAUUUUGGACAAUGGGCGAAAGCCUGAUCCAGCCAUUCCGCGUGCAGGAUGAAGGCCCUCGGGUUGUAAACUGCUUUUGUACAGAACGAAAAGGUUUCUACUAAUACUAGGAGCUCAUGACGGUACUGUAAGAAUAAGCACCGGCUAACUACGUGCCAGCCGCCGCCGUAA
rnacentral:rRNA from 1 species